CCUACGGGAGGCAGCAGUAAGGAAUAUUGGACAAUGGAGGCAACUCUGAUCCAGCCAUGCCGCGUGAAGGAUGAAGGCGCUCAGCGUUGUAAACUUCUUUUGGAUGGGAACAAAAACUCCGAUGCGUCGGAGCCUGAGGGUACCAUCAGAAUAAGCACCGGCUAACUCCGUGCCAGCAGCCGCGGUAAUACGGAGGGUGCAAGCGUUAUCCGGAAUCACUGGGUUUAAAGGGUGCGUAGGCGGCUCGAUAAGUCAGUCGUGAAAUUCCCCGGCUUAACCGGAGGGACUGCGAUUGAUACUGUUGAACUUGAAUCAGGUUGAGGUAGGCGGAAUGUGGCAUGUAGCGGUGAAAUGCUUAGAUAUGCCAUAGAACACCGAUUGCGAAGGCAGCUUGCUGGACCUGUAUUGACGCUGAGGCACGAAAGCGUGGGGAGCAAACAGGAUUAGAUACCUGGUAGUCCACGCCCUAAACGAUAGUUUACUUGUCUGUGCGGUCUUCGGAUUGCGUGGCGAAGCGAAAGCGAUAAGUAAACAACCUGGGGAGUACGCCGGCGAACGGUGAAACGUACAAAAUAGAAAUUAGAACGGG
rnacentral:rRNA from 1 species